rnacentral:lncRNA from 1 species
UUGAACCUUGAUAUUUAUCGCCGUGUUUCCCGCGGGUGGCAGUUGUGAUUGCCCACAAGGACCCCCAACUCGGUGCCUGCGCACACAACAAUCCCAACCAAGGGCAUGUGGCACACCAGAGGCCUCGCAGUCGGGACUAUACGCACAACACACAGCACACAACAUAGCAGUAUAGGUAUUUACUAUUUACAUCCAACACGGACUGCUAUGGUAUAGAUAUUUUUUUUUCUCGUGUGUCUUUUCUCUUAUUCUUAUUUAUCGCCGCAUAAUAAUCGAGUGCCCUGCUGCACAAUGGCCUAGUGGAAUAGUGGGUGCUGUGUGUAUGUGUGUGUGUGUGGUGUGGCGCUCACGCUGCGAAAUCAGCCCACUCGCGGCGGCGACGCUUGCACCUGUGGAUUUCCCAUCGGGUUGAUUCAAUUUCCUAUUCGGUUGCGGGUAGACGCGCUAUAGCGCUGCUUUUUUUUUUCUUUCCUUUUUUUUAUCUGUCGACCUCCGCGGUGCGUGGCACAGACACAUGCGAACGAAACCUUCACGCUCACCUAUUGCGUCACUGCCACCCCUAUUCUGCGACUCAAAGGCGCAUUCAGAGUUUCAGACCGUCUCAAUUUUCUGCAAGGGGGAAAAAGCGGAAAAAGCACUUUAGAAAAAUGGAGAACACAGUCUGUGCAGCAUCGCUUCGUGGAUAUACAUGUCAAGAACCAUCGACGCAAUCUUCGUGAUAGAUGGUAAAGAAAGAAUCAAGAUGAUAACGGUAUCUGAAUAAAAAAUGAUGACGAAACAUCUCAUCGGCAGUCAUGUCGGUGCGUUCGUGCGUGGGCAGAGCAGCAGGAGCAGCAGCAACGUCCGGAGAAGAAAAGAAAAAAAAGUUGGAGUAGUAGUCGUGCGAAAGAGCAUACGGUAUACGGCAUGCACACACAUCGCACAAUAGCACUUUAUAAUAAAUAUAUACACAGACUAAAUCAAGUAGACUCCCAAGCAGUCCAAACUAUUAAUAACACUUCAACAGAGAGGGUGACAACACAAACAACCAAAAAAAAAUCACAUUCCUUCGCCGAGCUGCUCUUUGCUGCUUCCAGGCUUUUCAUGUCGGCGAGAUGAAAACGACACAGCGGUCGCAUUCGACACCUUUGGCGUUUCGCUAACAAUCAACCAACUCCUAUCAUCAAGACACACAACAUUUAAUGGCUUUGUUGCCGGCCUAUUGGUAAUCAAACAUCGACAAUAAGACGUGUGCUUUAUAUGUACAACACAAACCUAUACGAUUUCACUUUGUGUGUCCCACUCGACUUUUUGGUUAACUGACUGAUGUCAUUUUUCUCGGGGAUUCGUCCGAAUUGGCAACGGGUUGCGGGUGACAGCGCAGCGCAGCGCGGCCGGCCCGCAAGCUGCGACAAUCAGCGGGACGUCGACAACAAACGACAGCAAUCAAGUCUGGGCGCCAUUCGUCAUCAUCUCAAAGGUGUUCAAAAAGUCGCGGCCUUCCUUCCAGUGAAUAUGCGAUAUGACGUCUCGGAAAAUGUUGAUUGUUGACAUUGCUUCAUCGAAUCAUUUCCUAGGGCCUGACACAUACUUUAUACGCAGCCGAGAGCUAGAGCCCGGCCAGCACUGGCCCAGCCACAAAAAGAGAAAAAUAAAUCGACUUCCAUCUCCAUUCAGGGCUUCGUGGACAUAUAGAAUGGAUUUUGAAGAGAGAAGUGCUUGAUCAUUCCUUGUCGAUUUGCAACGGAUCAGUGACAACGACACCCCCGAAAUGACGGGUUGAGGAAUUGAGAAAAGCCAACAACAACAACAACAGCAACAACACCGGAUCGAUGAGCCAUUGAAGCCUGACACGCGAUAGGGCUGGGGGCUCACACGAAAUGCUGGUGUGUUGCAUCGGAGACGAGAAAAGAGCCUUAUACCGAAGGACAUGCAAAUUCCAGUUGUGUGUGUGUGUGUGCGUGAGCGCCGAAAACAACGGAGAGGUAGAGAAGAGAUACGUCCAAACAAAUUGCCAACACGAAAGAUGCCUUAACGCGGGAAUUUGUUGCAUUGCCGCCGCCCGGUCGUUUGUUACAUUCUCCAAAACCAUUUUCAUGGCUUUUCUCUUUUUGUUGUUGUUAUAGCUCAGGUUGGCGUGCUCUUCCCGCUCUGUACGCUCAAGACACAGCACAUCGGGAAGAAGGGGGUAAAAGGAAACAAGGUUGUGAUUUAUCACGUCCAAAUAACCAAAUGAAGCAUUGUCUUUUUCGUUUUUUUUUUGUAUUUUUUAGAAAAAAAAAAUUUUAAAUCUAAAUGAAAACUUCUUUUGUUUUUUAGCCCGAAUUUUGAAAAUGAGAUGGUGCGAAAAUAAAUUCACCGGAAAAUCGAAUCCUUAGAAACGCGCGCUAUUCAAUUUAAAAAAAAAUGGA